rnacentral:rRNA from 1 species
UACGUAGGGGGCAAGCGUUGUCCGGAAUUAUUGGGCGUAAAGAGCGUGUAGGCGGUCCGGUAAGUCAGCUGUGAAAGUCAAGGGCUCAACCCUUGAAAGCCGGUUGAUACUGUCGGGCUAGAGUCCGGAAGAGGCGAGUGGAAUUCCCGGUGUAGCGGUGAAAUGCGUAGAUAUCAGGAGGAACACCGGUGGCGAAGGCGGCUGCCUGGCCUAAGACUGACGCUGAGGUGCGAAAGCGUGGGGAGCGAACGGG